UACGUAGGGUGCGAGCGUUAAUCGGAAUUACUGGGCGUAAAGCGUGCGCAGGCGGUUAUUUAAGUCAGGUGUGAAAGCCCUGGGCUUAACCUAGGAAUUGCGCUUGGGACUGGAUAGCUUGGAGUGCGGCAGAGGGAGGUGGAAUUCCACGUGUAGCAGUGAAAUGCGUAGAGAUGUGGAGGAACACCGAUGGCGAAGGCAGCCUCCUGGGCCAGCACUGACGCUCAUGCACGAAAGCGUGGGGAGCAAACAGG
rnacentral:rRNA from 1 species